rnacentral:rRNA from 1 species
AGAGUUUGAUCCUGGCUCAGAACAAACGCUGGCGGCGUGCCUAACACAUGCAAGUCGUACGAGAAAGUUGGCUUCGGCUGAUGAGUAAAGUGGCGCACGGGUGAGUAACGCGUGGAUAAUCUGCCUUUUAGUUGGGGAUAACGUACCGAAAGGUGCGCUAAUACCGGAUAAUACUGAGUGACUACUGUUGCUUAGUCAAAGAAGGCCUCUGUUUACAAGCUUUUGCUGAAAGAUGAGUCCGCGUACCAUUAGCUAGUUGGUCGGGUAAUGGCCUACCAAGGCUACGAUGGUUAGCUGGUCUGAGAGGAUGAUCAGCCACACUGGAACUGAGACACGGUCCAGACUCCUACGGGAGGCAGCAGUGAGGAAUAUUGCGCAAUGGGGGCAACCCUGACGCAGCAACGCCGCGUGAGUGAGGAAGGUUUUCGGAUCGUAAAGCUCUGUCGAGUGGGAAGAAAUGUAUCAUGGCUAAUAUCCAUGAUACUUGACGGUACCGCUAAAGGAAGCACCGGCUAACUCCGUGCCAGCAGCCGCGGUAAUACGGGGGGUGCAAGCGUUGUUCGGAAUUAUUGGGCGUAAAGAGCGUGUAGGCGGCUGAAUAAGUCAGAUGUGAAAUCCCUGGGCUUAACUCAGGAAGUGCAUUUGAAACUAUUCAGCUCGAGUAGGGGAGAGGAAAGUGGAAUUCCUGGUGUAGAGGUGAAAUUCGUAGAUAUCAGGAGGAACACCGGUGGCGAAGGCGACUUUCUGGCCCUAUACUGACGCUGAGACGCGAGAGCGUGGGUAGCAAACAGGAUUAGAUACCCUGGUAGUCCACGCUGUAAACGAUGUUCACUAGGUGUUGGGGGUAUUGACCCUCUCAGUGCCGAAGCUAACGCAUUAAGUGAACCGCCUGGGGAGUACGGUCGCAAGAUUAAAACUCAAAGGAAUUGACGG